UGUGUUUCGCAAUGUUUUUUUUUCCUACAUCACAACGUUAAUCUGCCCAGGUGUGGGCAGGUUAGACAUGAUUGAAAAGACAUGAUUUUAAAGUUUAGUCACAGUGUUCAGGGUCACAAAAAACGUUUAUACUGUGAAAACAUACAAGGCAAACAGAGCAUGGAUCUCUAUGACAGAAUAGAAAUCUUCAUCCCAGCGGAGGCCGAGGUCAAGCGCAUCCCACUGUGGAGCCUACCAAACCCAGUGCUCAGAAGAAUGGGCCUCCCUGUGUCUGACUCUAAUGGCUCCAAGAAGCUCACAAACUCACCAAAGGGCACGUGGAUCUGUCCAGCAGUGGUUCGCAAAAAAGGCCAGAAAUCAGGAUGUGAUGCCAUGGAAAGUACACUGACUCUGCUGAGGACAGAGUGUCGGGCCUCGUCGGGUCCCUUUCGAAUGUCUUUUGUUUUUUUCAAUCACACAGCUUUCAAGGUGCUGAAGGACACCGUACCUGGCAGUAAGCUCUCUACAAUCCCCCCUCACAUGUCGUCCAUACCUCAGGGCCUGGCUUCAAAGACCUAUCAGACCGCUGUGGUCGUCUACGCCGGGCGCAUCUACCUGUCUGUCAGGAGGCCUGGUCGAGGCCAAGACCAGGCAGAGACAGCCCAGCCAUCUCCUCAGCCCACGCUGCCUGUACGCAGGCAGUGUAAGUCGCAGAAGAAGGAGCUGCCACCAGGCAAAAAGAAGCCCAAGAACACACCAUGUAAAGUAACGCACAAGAAAGGUUUAAAACACAGGAAUGUUUCCUCCUCCACGGAUGCUCACUCCGUCACCCAGUCCACUGUCGGCAUGCACAGCGCAGUCGGCCACUGUCACGAGGAUGCUAGAGCCAAGAAGAACCCACUGGAAGCAGGGGCCCAGGAGUCAACUAGGCACCAGCCUCAAGUGGAGGCAACCAACAGUGGCGGUAGUGAAUGUGUGAUGCGGGACGUGAGCAGCGGGGAAGCUGAGAGCGUCAGCCAGAACCACGACGUGGACAGCAACGUGCAGAGCGGCAGCGGGGACGUGGACCAAAGCUGCUCCCAAAGCUGGACCAGGAGGGAUGCGGUUGCAACCUUCCCCUCCCCGUCUUUAAAGAACAAGUUUGAUUUCAAGGAGCUGGCAGAGGAAGAGAUGAUCGGCCGAAUGAAAGCCAGGCUCAAGCAGAACGCCCAACAGUUACCAUCUGCUCAGUCUGACUGA
rnacentral:lncRNA from 1 species